CUAAUUUCCCAUGGCCGACAAUAUUUUCUCAAUUACCACUCUCCAACAAACACUCUGCUCUCCCUUUCUCCUAUUACCCUUUCCCUUCUCUCUUUCUCUCUUUCCUCUUCACCUGACCCUAUCAAAUGAACCCAGCUUUCCAUCUCGCUACCAGACGACGACGUUUUGAACUCCUUCUUCAUCGUUUUCUCUACUUCCCCUUCUUCUUCUGCUCUCCAAUGGCUAUCCCCGCUGCAAACUUUUAACAAAAAAACACCCUUUUGUUUAUACCCAAUGCCAGUGUAAUGAUUUUCAAAAGGAAAAAGACUUGAAAGUCAUAAGAGAAGCUAAGAUCCGAGAAGAGAUUUUAGACCGAGAAGCUUCACUUAGACGAGCAAGAGCAGAAGCAUCUCUUUCUGAUGGUAUCUCAUGGGGCAGGGGAGAGGAUGCUAUUGAAGAAGCAGAGGUAGUUGAAAAUUAUAAAGAUUUUGCAUUCUUAGACUAUGCAAGAGUUGGUAGGGCAUUGGCCUUAUACGAGGUUGGAGACAAAGAAGAAGCUUUUGCAGAGAUGGAAGAUGUUUCAAUAUCUUUAAAAGGAUAUCCAAGUGCUAUAUUAGAGUUCAAAUUUAUUAGAGUUCAAUAUCUUUAAUAUAAUUUUUUUUGGUAUAUGGCUUUUUCAAGCAGGGAUUUUUGUUUAACUCUCAUUUCAAGACGUUGUUGACAUUAUGCUGGGACAAGGUUAGCUUGAGUGCCUUUGCAUUUUUGUUCUCUGAGCUUGUUCAGUACAAUCAAACUCGGGUUGACAACAUUGCUGAAUUAGAAAGAAGGCUGGAGGAUGCAGGGUAUGCUGUUGGGGCUCGAGUUCUUGAACUUUUAUGCUGUUGGGGUUUAUCUGAUCAUUUGGUUUUGCAUCCUUUAGAUAUUGAAGGUGUAGUAGAGGAUUCAAUCUCUUCAAGCUGGAAAAGCCAAGGCUUGGCACUUCUUCAAGUGGAGUGUUAUUUAAUGUUGCAUUUCAUGGUCGUUUAUCUUAGUCGGAACUUGAAUUUGGUGUUAUUGAAACAGGGUUUUGUAGCUACCUUGUGUACUAGCUUCUUUAACCAUGAUUGUUAAUUAUUACAUGUUUUUUAGCUUCUUUUA